rnacentral:rRNA from 1 species
UGGGGGACAACGUUUCGAAAGGAACGCUAAUACCGCAUACGUCCUACGGGAGAAAGCAGGGGACCUUCGGGCCUUGCGCUAUCAGAUGAGCCUAGGUCGGAUUAGCUAGUUGGUGGGGUAAUGGCUCACCAAGGCGACGAUCCGUAACUGGUCUGAGAGGAUGAUCAGUCACACUGGAACUGAGACACGGUCCAGACUCCUACGGGAGGCAGCAGUGGGGAAUAUUGGACAAUGGGCGAAAGCCUGAUCCAGCCAUGCCGCGUGUGUGAAGAAGGUCUUCGGAUUGUAAAGCACUUUAAGUUGGGAGGAAGGGCAGUAAGUUAAUACCUUGCUGUUUUGACGUUACCGACAGAAUAAGCACCGGCUAACUCUGUGCCAGCAGCCGCGGUAAUACAGAGGGUGCAAGCGUUAAUCGGAAUUACUGGGCGUAAAGCGCGCGUAGGUGGUUCGUUAAGUUGGAUGUGAAAGCCCCGGGCUCAACCUGGGAACUGCAUCCAAAACUGGCGAGCUAGAGUACGGUAGAGGGUGGUGGAAUUUCCUGUGUAGCGGUGAAAUGCGUAGAUAUAGGAAGGAACACCAGUGGCGAAGGCGACCACCUGGACUGAUACUGACACUGA